CUCUUAAAAUAUUUUAAGUAGUCUCUGCCCAAUGAAAUUUAAAUGGCCGCAGUAUUCUGACUGUGCAAAGGUAGCAUAAUCACUUGUUUUUUAAUUGAAAACUGGAAUGAAAGAGUUGACGUAAAAUAAACUAUUUUUAUUAAAUUUUAAUUUGACACUAGAAUCAAAAGGUUCUAAUUUUAUAGAAAGACGAUAAGACCCUGUGAAAUUUUACUCAAUUAGUAUAAUUAUAUAAAGCAAAUAUAUCUUACAGAUGAGUUGUGCUGGGGCGGUAAAUAUAUUAAAACUAUUUUAUAUUAAAAACAAAAAUGUUAUUAUUAAAAACACAUUUAAGUAACUUGAACAAAUUACUCCAGGGAUAACAGCACAAUUCCCUUUCAUAGAACGUAUAGACAAUGGAGUUUGUGACCUCGAUGUUGAAUUGGAAGUACUUGUUAAAGCAAAAAUUAAUAAUGUUAGUC
rnacentral:rRNA from 1 species